AAGAAUUCAUAUUUGAUAGGUUUUAUUAACACCCAAUAAAGACUAAAUGAAGGUCCAACGAGGUUUAAAUAAUAACCAUAUGGAAGCCGUUUGAAUUUCACAUAUAACUUAUUGGAUAUCGUUUACCCAUUCGUACUACGAUGGCGGCCACUGCAUACAAUUUGGUAGCAGAUUUUGGUUUAACGACGAGCUUUUGCAAAUUUGUAACGAAUGUGAAACCAUUAUUUGCGAGCAUUUACCUUGCUCGCUGA